rnacentral:tRNA from 1 species
UACAUGGUGGUCUAGUGGUUAAGAUUCUGUACUUUCACUGCUGUGGCCUGGGUGCAAGCCCUGGCCUUGAAA